UCUGACUAUAACUAUGGACUAUUGCUUAAAUAUCUAAUUCACCAUCCUUCACAGCUAUCUUUUAAGUACUGAGUGCAUAUUGCAAUAUCAUGUGCCUUCGAACCAUGGUGACUGAUGUAUGUGAAGUCAUCAGUAGAGGUGAUAUGCAAGAGACAUAAUGGAAGCAAGAAAGUCCUUGAAACUGCUGUUUUUGAGGUUCAGACAGUUUCAAUGUGAGUCUUCAAAGACAAUGCAUUGGUUUCAGACAUUAUGAAUCUUGUUCUCACAGUUGCAAAAUGGCUGAUGGGCCUCUACCAACAUGUCCAUAUUCCAUGCAGACAUAAAUAAGAAGGGGGAGGGCAAACAACAUGUACCAACAGUUUAUUCAACAAAUUAAUGACAAGUAAGUAUUUUUUAAGUCUAAAAAACAAUAGCUUUCCUGAACCCACCCC
rnacentral:lncRNA from 1 species